GAUGAACGCUGGCGGCGUGCCUAAUACAUGCCAGUCGGGCGAACAGACGAGGAGCUUGCUCCUCUGACGUUAGCGGCGGACGGGUGAGUAACACGUGGAUAACCUACCUAUAAGACUGGGAUAACUUCGGGAAACCGGAGCUAAUACCGGAUAAUAUAUUGAACCGCAUGGUUCAAUAGUGAAAGACGGUUUUGCUGUCACUUAUAGAUGGAUCCGUGCCGCAUUAGCUAGUUGGUAAGGUAACGGCUUACCAAGGCAACGAUGCGUAGCCGACCUGAGAGGGUGAUCGGCCACACUGGAACUGAGACACGGUCCAGACUCCUACGGGAGGCAGCAGUAGGGAAUCUUCCGCAAUGGGCGAAAGCCUGGCGGAGCAACGCCGCGUGAGUGAUGAAGGUCUUCGGAUCGUAAAACUCUGUUAUUAGGGAAGAACAAAUGUGCAAGUAACUAUGCACGUCUUGACGGUACCUAAUCAGAAAGCCACGGCUAACUACGUG
rnacentral:rRNA from 1 species